rnacentral:rRNA from 1 species
GUCGGGGGCAUCAGUAUUCAAUUGUCAGAGGUGAAAUUCUUGGAUUUAUUGAAGACUAACUACUGCGAAAGCAUUUGCCAAGGAUGUUUUCAUUAAUCAGUGAACGAAAGUUAGGGGAUCGAAGACGAUCAGAUACCGUCGUAGUCUUAACCGUAAACUAUGCCGACUAGGGAUCGGGCGAUGUUCUUUUUCUGACUCGCUCGGCACCUUACGAGAAAUCAAAGUUUUUGGGUUCUGGGGGGAGUAUGGUCGCAAGGCUGAAACUUAAAGAAAUUGACGGAAGGGCACCACCAGGCGUGGAGCCUGCGGCUUAAUUUGACUCAAC